rnacentral:rRNA from 1 species
GACGAGUCUCACGAACGUUAUUCGGAAUUACUGGGCUUAAAGGGUGCGUAGGCGGUGGAGUAAGUCGGGUGUGAAAUACCUUCGCUCAACGAGGGAACUGCACUUGAUACUACUUUGCUAGAGUAAGACAGAGGUGAGUGGAACUGAGGGUGGAGCGGUGAAAUGCGUUGAUAUCCUCAGGAACACCGGUGGCGAAGGCGACUCACUGGGUCUUUACUGACGCUGAUGCACGAAAGCUAGGGUAGCAAACGGG